rnacentral:rRNA from 1 species
UACGUAGGGUGCGAGCGUUGCCCGGAUUUAUUGGGCGUAAAGGGCGCGUAGGCGGCUCGGCACGUCCGUUGUGAAAUCGCCCGGCUCAACUGGGCGGGGUCAGCGGAUACGGUUGAGCUUGAGCAAGCUAGGGGGCAAUGGAAUUCCCGGUGUAGUGGUGGAAUGCGUAGAGAUCCGGAAGAACACUGGUGGCGAAGGCGGCCUGCUGGGCAGUUGCUGACACUGAGGCGCGACAGCGUGGGGAGCAAACAGG